CAGUCCCUACAGUGCGCGUGGUGAGAGUGGUGUUUUUGAGCCAACACUACCACAAUGGGAGCUUGACGUUAGAUGUGGCUGUAGACCUGGUUGCUUUAAGGACUAGGGAACAUUAAACAUCUAGGAGAGCACCCACCUGCUUAGAGGGUUCAUUAAAUAAAUCCUUCUCCACGGCAUUGGUGGGGAUUUU
rnacentral:other from 1 species